rnacentral:rRNA from 1 species
UACGUAGGGGGCAAGCGUUGUCCGGAAUUAUUGGGCGUAAAGCGCGCGCAGGCGGUCCUUUAAGUCUGAUGUGAAAGCCCACGGCUCAACCGUGGAGGGUCAUUGGAAACUGGGGGACUUGAGUACAGGAGAGGAAAGUGGAAUUCCAUGUGUAGCGGUGAAAUGCGUAGAUAUAUGGAGGAACACCAGUGGCGAAGGCGACUUUCUGGCCUGUAACUGACGCUGAGGCGCGAAAGCGUGGGGAGCAAACAGG